CUCCCUGCUACCACAGAACGUCUUAGACCUCCACGGGCUGCAUGUGGAUGAAGCUAUAGAACACUUGACAGCAGUUCUACAGCAGAAAACGGAAGAAUUUAAGCAGAGUGGCGGUAAGCCCUAUCUUUCAGUGAUUACUGGGAGAGGAAACCACAGCCAGGGAGGAGUUGCUCGAAUCAAACCAGCUGUCAUUAAAUACCUCACAAGCCACAGCUUCAGGUUCUCUGAAAUUAAACCAGGGUGCUUGAAAGUCAUGCUGAAGUGAAACUUAAAGCCCUGGACUUAGAAGUGUGAGGUUUGUGGGCUGACGUUGGUUUUACUUGUAGUAAUUCAGUCAGUUCUAUUUUCAAAUGUAUUUAUUAGGAAUGUAAAACAAGAAAAAUGCUUUUCAG
rnacentral:lncRNA from 1 species